rnacentral:misc_RNA from 1 species
AACGCACCUUGCGCCUCUUGGUAUUCCGAGGGGCAUGCCUGUUUGAGUGUCAUUGAAUCCUCAAAAGAAAAGCUUAACUGUUUCUCUUUUGGAAUUGGAGUGUGCUGGCCUUUUGUUAGAAAGCCCGGCUCCUCUGAAAUACAUUAGCGAUGUGACAUCCGCAUGGCACCACGCUUCUCUGGCAUUGAUAAGCAUCUUCAUGCCUGAGCGUUUUUGUGCAGCUGUGGAAAGCUUUGCUCGCUCAUAACCUGAUGGGUCAGCCCAUCCUUUGACCAAUUUAACCUCAAAUCAGGUAGGAUUACCCGCUGAACUUAA